rnacentral:rRNA from 1 species
UGCAAGUCGAGCGGCAGCGGGAAAGUAGCUUGCUACUUUUGCCGGCGAGCGGCGGACGGGUGAGUAAUGCCUGGGAAAUUGCCCAGUCGAGGGGGAUAACAGUUGGAAACGACUGCUAAUACCGCAUACGCCCUACGGGGGAAAGCAGGGGACCUUCGGGCCUUGCGCGAUUGGAUAUGCCCAGGUGGGAUUAGCUAGUUGGUGAGGUAAUGGCUCACCAAGGCGACGAUCCCUAGCUGGUCUGAGAGGAUGAUCAGCCACACUGGAACUGAGACACGGUCCAGACUCCUACGGGAGGCAGCAGUGGGGAAUAUUGCACAAUGGGGGAAACCCUGAUGCAGCCAUGCCGCGUGUGUGAAGAAGGCCUUCGGGUUGUAAAGCACUUUCAGCGAGGAGGAAAGGUUGAUGCCUAAUACGUAUCAACUGUGACGUUACUCGCAGAAGAAGCACCGGCUAACUCCGUGCCAGCAGCCGCGGUAAUACGGGGGGUGCAAGCGUUAAUCGGAAUUACUGGGCGUAAAGCGCACGCAGGCGGUUGGAUAAGUUAGAUGUGAAAGCCCCGGGCUCAACCUGGGAAUUGCAUUUAAAACUGUCCAGCUAGAGUCUUGUAGAGGGGGGUAGAAUUCCAGGUGUAGCGGUGAAAUGCGUAGAGAUCUGGAGGAAUACCGGUGGCGAAGGCGG